UGCGCUGCUUCUAAUCGUCCUUUCAGA
rnacentral:rRNA from 1 species